GGAAAACUUAUAUGUGGGCCUGAGCCAAAUCUGCGAAAACAUAUAUUUCAUAUUCAUAAAAAACCGGAGUACCUUUACGAUUCUCAAAAAAAAAAAACGCAGAACAGAGAUAAAAUAGAUGAAGCCAUGUUAAAUUGUAUUAUUCAAGAUAGCCGCCCUUUCAACGAUUUUCAUAAACCUGGUAUGCAACUCCUUCUAAACAUUCUUGCUCCGCAUUACAAGCCGCCUCACCGAAAGGCAAUAGCUAAUCAAUAAGGAAAACGGUAUUAUCAAUACAAGAACGAUCUUAAAGCUAAGCUUAAAAUAGUUGCCUACAUAGCACUAGUAACAGAUUUGUGGAAAAAUCGAUUUGGAUCGUAUUGGCUUUGCAUAACAGCGCAUUACUUAACAAAAAAAUUUAAAUACAAAUCAAAAAUAGUUUGUUUUCGUAGGUUUUAUGGAAGGCAAUUAAGUAAUAGACUUACAGCAUUUGUACAAAAAGAAAUUAAUAAGCUUGAAACUGAACCUAAAAUUAUUUCAAUUACAACUGACAACGCUGAAGAUAUUAAAAAGGCGAUGGGAUCUAUUGCUUUACGACUUUCAUGCAUUUGUUAUAAUUUAAAUCUUGUUUUGAACCAUGGAAUCAAAUUGUGGACUAAACCAUCACAUAACUUAUUAGAUAGUACAGCGGAUGUAGAUGAAGAUCUUAUAUAUUACAAAAGUUAUAAUGAAAGCGAUAUCGAAUCAAAUGGAAAUAUUUCAUCUGACGAUCAAGAAGAAAUUGCAUGCACUUAUGACAAAGAAGACGUUAGCUUAGAUGAUGAAGAAAGUAGCAAGGAGAAGCAGGCGUCAACCAAUGAAAAUGUUGAACAGAUAUUCAUUUAUUCUUCAAGCAUAAUAUUCAGGUUAAGAAAGACGAUAGCUAAUGUUAAACAACAUUCUGUUUUGCAAUCAUUUGUUUUUAGUGAGAUUAAGAAGCAGGGACUGGAAUUAAAAAACUUUUCGUCAGAUUUUCAUGUACGUUGGAACUCAACGUUUUUGAUGAUUAGUAAGAUAAUAAAAGCAAAAUAUGUUUAUAAUAAAACUACCAUAGAUCCUGGCACUAUCGAUGGGUUAACAGAAAAACAGAUUAAUAAACUCAAGAAACUAGCUUUGUUAUCAGAUGACUGGAAGUUCCUAGACAUUUUACAUUAUAACCUUGCUCCAUUUUUUGAAGCAACUAAACUUCUCUCUACUAAAAAUUUUCCAACACUUUCCUUAGCAAAAUUCGUCCAAAAUACGUUAAUGAGCUUUCUUGAAAAUGAAUCUUCAGCUAAAUGUUUUCUUUUACAACCAUCUCCUACGGUGUAAAGAGAGAACAUGUUACAAGCUAGUCUUCUCAAGUUCAUGAAGGUAUACUUUGUUGAAAAGAUGUCUACAAAACAAAAGCUGCAAAGUUUGCUAGCAUAUUUCUUUGAUCCGAGAACAAACAAGUGUCUUACAGAAAAAGAAUAUCAAGAAGCAGAAAGCAAACUUAUGAAAAAAUUUGCUAAGUCAGCACUCCGACAAUAUCCUCGAAGAUCAACGCAUACAAGCAUUUGUUUGCAAAAUGAACAAAAUUAUUCGAGAAGUGAUAUGAUUGAUUCAAGUAAUGAUGUUCAAUUUCAUGUUUCACCUGAAGUUCCUGUUAAACGCAAAAAUGGGUUUGCUAAGCUUGCAACAUUAUGUGGUUUUAAUGUGCGAAGAAAAAACACAGUCAAAGCAAAAUAUAAAAGAGGGGUUAUCCUUUUUCAAUUAUACUAUAAAAGCAAAAACUUGGAAAUUCGAUGAGUUUUGGUACAAGUAUGAAAACGAUAUUCCAAUGUUAGCCUCUAAAGCAAGAGAGGUAUGCACUUCACCUGCUAGUUCGGUACGGCCAGAAUCCUCAUUUAGUGUUGCUAACUUUAUUCAUCGCAAAGAAAGAAGUAACUUAAGCUCGAGAAACUUGCUGUACUCGAUGCUACUUAAAGAGAAGAAUUGAAAUUUUACUUUAAAACUUUGUAUUUAACUGAAAAUGAGGAAAAGUAUUUUA